rnacentral:rRNA from 1 species
CGGCAGUAAACGGUGCACGCUUGGUGUGCGGGGAAUCGACCCCCUGCGUGCCGGAGCCAACGCGUUAAGCGUGCCGCCUGGGGAGUACGGUCGCAAGAUUAAAACUCAAAGAAAUUGACGGGGACCCGCACAAGCGGUGGAGUAUGUGGCUUAAUUCGAUGCAACGCGAAGAACCUUACCAAGGCUUGACAUCCCGUGACCGCCUGUGAAAGCAGGUUUUUUCUUCGGAAACACGGAGACAGGUGCUGCAUGGCCGUCGUCAGCUCGUGUCGUGAGAUGUUUGGUUAAGUCCAGCAACGAGCGCAACCCCUGCUGCCAGUUACCAUCAUUAGGUUGGAGACUCUGGCGGGACUGCCCAGAUCAACUGGGAGGAAGGUGGGGACGACGUCAGGUCAGUAUGGCCCUUACGCCUUGGGCUGUACACGUACUACAAUGCCCAGUACAGAGGGAGGCGAGCGUGCGAGCGCGAGCGGAUCCCGAAAAGUGGGCCCAGUUCGGAUUGGAGGCUGCAACCCGCCUCCAUGAAGCCGGAAUCGCUAGUAAUGGCGCAUCAGCUACGGCGCCGUGAAUACGUUCCCGGGUCUUGUACACACCGCCCGUCACAUCAUGGAAGCCGGUCGCACCCGAAGUGUCAGGAGCCAACCGCAAGGAGGCAUGGCCCUAAGGCGAGACUGGUAACUGGGAUG